GCACGACUGCGAUCUCGGCGCAGGUGAUGACAAGGAUCACAAACACGAGGAAGAGGAAGCCGAAGAUGUAGUAGAACUGGUGCAGCCAGAUGGAGGUGAGGAUGAAGAAAAGCUCAAUGAAAACUGCUCCAAAUGGAAGGACGCCACCAAUCAGAAUAGUGAAAAGCGGAUUCAUGUACCAAGCCUGCUCGGGGAUCUGCCGUGGAAUCUUGCUUGUCUUGACUGGAGGUUCCAUGGCAGGUUUCUUGAACCCAAGAUAACUCCCAACAAAGACGAGGGGUACCGAGAUGCCAAACCAGAGGAGGACCAGUGCAAACAUUGUGGUGAAAGGGACAGCACCAGAUGACUUCUCCCC
rnacentral:misc_RNA from 1 species